UACGGAGGGGGCUAGUGUUGUUCGGAAUUACUGGGCGUAAAGCGCACGUAGGCGGCUUUGUAAGUUAGAGGUGAAAGCCCGGGGCUCAACUCCGGAAUUGCCUUUAAAACUGCAUCGCUAGAAUUGUGGAGAGGUAAGUGGAAUUCCGAGUGUAGAGGUGAAAUUCGUAGAUAUUCGGAAGAACACCAGUGGCGAAGGCGACUUACUGGACACAUAUUGACGCUGAGGUGCGAAAGCGUGGGGAGCAAACAGG
rnacentral:rRNA from 1 species